rnacentral:tRNA from 1 species
AGCGGACUGGUGCAAUGGUAGCAUGUUAGGUUCUGAGCCUAAAGCUGGUCGUUCGAUUCGACCGUCCGCAUCCA